GAUGAAGAACGUAGUGAAAUGCGAUAAGUAAUGUGAAUUGCAGAAUUCAGUGAAUCAUCGAAUCUUUGAACGCACAUUGCGCCCGCCAGCACUCUGGCGGGCAUGCCUGUCCGAGCGUCAUUUACCACCCUCGGGCCCCCUUGGGGGCCCGGUGCUGGGGGCACGGCCCAGGCCGCCCCCGAAAUGCAGUGGCGACCCCGCCGCGUCCUCCCCUGCGCAGUAGCACAAUCUCGCACCGGAAGCGCGGAGGCGGUCACGCCUGGAAACGCCCCAACUCAACGCAGUUGACCUCGGAUCAGGUAGGAGUACCCGCUGAACUUAAGCAUAUCAAUAAGCGGAGGA
rnacentral:misc_RNA from 1 species